UACGUAGGGUGCAAGCGUUGUCCGGAAUUAUUGGGCGUAAAGAGCUCGUAGGCGGUUUGUCGCGUCUGCUGUGAAAACCCGAGGCUCAACCUCGGGCCUGCAGUGGGUACGGGCAGACUAGAGUGCGGUAGGGGAGAUUGGAAUUCCUGGUGUAGCGGUGGAAUGCGCGGAUAUCAGGAGGAACACCGAUGGCGAAGGCAGAUCUCUGGGCCGUAACUGACGCUGAGGAGCGAAAGCAUGGGGAGCGAACAGG
rnacentral:rRNA from 1 species